rnacentral:lncRNA from 1 species
AGAAGGAGGAUUAGAUCUCUACAUGCUUGAACAUUCCCAACUUAAGAAAGAAAAAAUAAAAUGCCUUAGAAUCCUGGACUCAGGCCACCAAAGUAGCAUUAUGCCCUCGAGAAAAAUCAAUUUGCAGCUUGGUGUUAUGAAGAGACUUACUGAAUAUCAAUUGGGUGGGUUAUGUUCAACUGAAAAGCAUCUUCCAAGCUAGCUAUCCAUUCCAUUUGGUUCAUACUCAAUUGCCAAUUUCCCCCUUCUCUUCUAUGCUACCUACUCUCUACCCAUGAACAUAAUAGGUACUCCCUUCCCCACCCUACCCCACCUUCAAAUAAAAGAAAGGAAAAGGAAGAAACAAAGUAAGUUAAAAUUAAAUUAAUUUGACUUAGCUACUGCUAGAGUUACUAUUUCAUACACUUCUUUCAUUUUCUGCCAAAUUUCUUGAAAUGUGCUUUAUGUUUACUGCCUCAUCUGUUUCUUCUUAAUCACUCAUUGCCUAACUCCUCCCCCUACCAUUCUAGUGUAAUUUUGUACUACAUGGUUACUAAAUCAAAUGGGACAAUCAAUUGGUGAUGUUUUGUUUUGUUUUUUCUCACCUCAUUCAGGUUGAGCUUUAAUUCCUUUCACUGGGAUUCAUCACUUCCUUAUAAAAUUUCAUUUUCUUGGUUGUUCAGUAGAAGAGUGACAAGAGGACACCACUGCUAUUCUCCAGAUUUUAGAGAAGAACAAUUGAACUUUUUUUUUUAACACAAUGAAGAUAACACCAACAUAUCUUGAACUUGGCAGAUGGAACUAGGCUACUGAUACUCUUCUAGUAAGGUAAGGUAAAAUAUGGGUGUGGAAGAUAGUUUGAAAGAGAAAAUAUAAUAGUGUUAGAAAAGAAGAAUGUAGAGUGCUGAUAUUUAAGAAGCAGGAAGAGGAGAGAAAUUAGUGAAUGGAUAUGAAAGAAGGGAUGUUAAAAACUUUUCCAAGCUGAGAAAAUAUCCUUUUAUUCUCUUUCUACCAUGUCCUCUUCAGGUUUUUUUUUUUGUUUGUUUGUUUGUUUUGAGAUGGAGUCUGUCUCUGUCACUUAAGCUGGAGAUCUCGGCUCACCGCAACCUCUGCCUCCCGGAUUCAAGCAAUUCUCCUGCCUCAGCUUCCUGAAUACCUGGGAUUAUAGGCAUGCACCACCAUGCCUGGAUAAUUUUUGUGUUUUCAGUAGAGACGGGGUUUCGCAUGUUGGCCAAGCUAGUUUCAAACUUCUGACCUCAAGUGACCUCAGCUUCCCAAAGUGCUGGGAUUAUAGACCUGAGCCACCGCGCCCAGCCCUCUUCAGGUUUUUUAAUGCUCUGUUAAGCCAUUAACAUAUUUUAUUUUACAUGUUGAUUUUCUUGUCUCUCUCCUUUCAUAGACCAUCAGUUUUUUGAGGACAAAAACUGUGUUUGGUUCUUCUCUCUCUCCUUAGAGCCUAGCGAAUUGCCUGUAAUAUAAAACAUGCCCAAAAAUUUUACAGGCUUAAUUAAUAAAUGACAGUGUUAUGAAAGAAUUCAGAAAAGAAAAAAUAUUGGAGAAAGAUGCCUUGACAACAUGGAAGAAAGGAGGGAAAAUGAAAUCAGAACAUUUGAUUUGAAAACUCAACUUGAAGGUUAUUGAUGAUGAUAGUAAGAAUAGUUAGUAGAGUGUUGAGAAUAAAGCCAGAUUUCAAGAGGUUGAAACAUCAAACACAAUUUUAUAGUAGGUCGUACGGGGAGACCACUCUGGAGAUAGAUUUCAGAGUAUGUAAGAAAGGAGUCAGAGUGGCAGACAGGAAAGGAAAAAUUACUUGCAUUCCAAUCAUAUGGCUAGAGAAUCCUCCAGCAGAAAGUCUACUCUAAACUGGGUUGAGUCUGCAUUUAGCAAAAGGCAGCAGAUUUAAGUGGAGACAAUGCUGAGCUCAUGAGAUAAAGAGCAAGAUGAGGCUAUAAAUGGCAAAUAGAGCAUGUGAUGAGAACUGGGAAAGAUGUGGAGAAGUUUAGGAAGCAUUUUGUGAGGAGAAAUAAGACAGACAAGCGGUUUAGGAAAAGGCUGCCAUUUUCCAGCACUGAGUCAGAGGUGGUAACUUUAAGUAACUAUAGAAGUCUUCGGGAAUCCACAUCAAGGAAAGAUCUGUUUUCUUCUUAGGAAGGAGUGGCUGAAGCUUUGGGUAUUUUUGUUUGUUUGUUUCCCAUUUUGUUUUAUAAUUUUUUUUUAUUUUACUUUAAGUUCUGGGAUACAUGUGCCGAACAUGCAGUUUUGUUACAUAGGUAUACAUGUGCCAUGGUGGUUUGCUGCACCCAUCAACCUGUCAUGUAGGUUGUAAGCCCUGCAUGUAUUAGGUCUUUGUCCUAAUGCUGUCCCUCCCCUUGCCCCCCAUGCCCGGACAGGCCCCGGUGUGUGAUGUUGCUCUCCCUGUGUCCAUGUGUUCUCAUUGUUCAACUCCCACUUUGCAGGGGCAUGAAUGAAGCUGGAAACCAUCAUCCUCAUCAAAGUAGCACAGGAACAGAAAACCAAACACCGCUUUGGGUAUAUUUUUUAAGCAGCAACAAGAGAUUCAAUCACAAAUGAGUGGGAGAUGAUGAUUCCAAAGAUAAAAGAUAACCUAAUGUUCAAACUCCCAGAAAGGGGUGAAAUUCUGGGAGAAUUAACUUUGUGAAGGAGGGGACAAAGGGGAGCAAUAUUUUGUUCUGAGUAGGAUGAGAUACUAUUAACUUGGGAAAAGAAGUGAACAAGCAUGGUUGUAAGACAGGGAAUGCAAGAUUUUUCUGUUAAAUUAGGAAUUGAUAAUGAAAAAGAUAGAAAAAGAAUUGACGAUUUGAGAAAAGAAGAUACAGUUUAAAAUGACUUCUGCAGGUAUAUGGAAACUUGAAUAAAAAAUAAAUGAGAUAAAUUAGUUUUUUAAAUUAAGAUUACUCUACAGUAUCAAGGGUCCAACUUAGAUCACACAUUUACAUUGAACUUAAUCCACUUCUGUAAUUUUCUCCAACUCUAUCCAAAUUGCUUGUGAGCGGAAUUAGAGAAAAUUGAUCAUUUGGUUGAGCUAGGUUUGGGGAAUUAACUGACAAACUGAAAUAAAUGUGUCAGUUUGCUCGGGUUAGGAAAUGGAAAAUGAUAAGGAAGAUAGAGGUGAAAUAACUGAGCAUGGCAUCCAUUAUAGUUUGCAUAUGAAGUGAAACAAGAAACGGACUUAUAAAAUCAAAUUGGAUUAAGAAACUGAUGUUAAGUGUGAGGUCAAAAGCAAUGUUUAGUAAACAUGAGAGACAGAGAAUGGUAGCAAGCUGUAGUGUCAAGAAAAUUUCAAAAUAUUACAGAUAUCGAAUACUUUGGGAUGCUGAUAAAGUCCAUAAAUUAAAAAGGAAAGUGGAAUAAUGAAAAGGAAUUUGUAGAACAAUCUCUUGAAAACAUUGAAAGGCAGCCAAGAGAAUCCUCAUCCUGCCUGCUCUCUCAGGCUACAGAAUAAAGGGUGAAUGUUACCAUUCUGGAAUCAGACACAGCUAGGUUCAAAUCAUGACUGUUUCUCCUUAUGUAGGUAACCAUAGGCAAACUAGUUUUCUGUGCCUCACUUUUCUUAUCUGUAAAACAGGAAUGUGCCUGCUUCCUAAGUUUGCUGGGAAGAUUACAUGAGAUAAAAGAGUUUAGUACAGUGUAAGCUGAGAGCAGGUGGUUCAGUUGGACUCUGGAGAAGCACUGCUUGUGUUUGAAUCCCAGCUGUGCCACUUACUGGUUUUACAACCUUAGGCAAAUAUUAACCUCUCUAUGCUUCAGUUUUCUUGCAUGAAAAUUGGGAUAAUAAUAGUAACUAACUCAUAUGGUGGUUGUGAAGAUUAAGUGAACCACAUGAAAUUGCUGCUCUUCAAUCAUUUUUGACCUGUAAGAAUAGCAAUUUUAUGUAGUUCAACCUAAUAAUACAUGCACAUUGUUUAAGAUAGAGCAUGGCACAUAGGAAGUCAUCAACAAAAGUUAUCAUGAAAGGAUAGCUACUACUACUAUUACUACUAGUACUUGUACAACUAAUAAAAUAAAAAUUCUUAAUGUGGCAGAGUCAUAAGAGUUUCAGAAUUAACAAUGAGAAGACAGAUCUCAAUUAAGGCAAGGCAGUGAAGAGAAUAUAAUAAAAACCACCAGGAACCACAUAAACACAUUCCAUUAAAUUCUUUGUCAAUACAAUAAUGUUCUACAAUUCACACAGCCUGCCACUUUGUCUUGUUCAACUCAACAUCCCUGCCUGCCUGGGUAACUGUAACUUUCCCCCAGUUUAAUUAUCUCCCUUCAGUUUGUUUUCUGUAAUCCCUGUCACAUAAUUCUCUCAAAUUUAUCUUUCUAAAAGGCCAAUUUUUGUGUCCCCUUUUAUCCUUAGAAAAAUGAAUAAAAUUCAUGCUCCUCAUGUUUGUCUUCAAGAGCUGACGUGAUUUGGCCCAAAAUUAGCCCCAAAGCCUGUAUUCCCCAUAUACACCACCCAAGCCUACUGCUUCAGUUAAACCAGGCUACUCGUAGCUUUGCAAAUAUGAUGUACAUUCCCACCUUGUCCCCAUCUGACUGAAAUAUAUUUCCAGGCUCUUGGUUAGUGCCUAUUCAUAACCUCAAAUUCCAUUUCAAUUUCCCAUUGACUAGUAGACUAUUGAAAUUUCAGUUCCCCAUUUUACUCAUAUCUCUCUCACAUCUGAGCUGCCCAAGUGCUGUGCAAAGAUCUGUAACACUACUUUCAUUUGUAUUUGUGUGUGUAGGUGUGUAUUCUAUUUUCUCAUGAGUCUUCAGGCACCCUUAAAACAGAAAGCAUAUUUGAAACCUCUUUGUAUUCCUCAUUGAACAACCACAGUUGACUUGUAUUACAUUAUUAUAACAUUUAUAGAUGUUUACAACAAUUUUAGAGUGACAAAUAUUGGGAGAACUGAAAACUAAGAAGAUAAAUUUUUGAUACUCCCAUAAGUGAAAUACAUAUUCUCAAUUCAGAUGUGAAAAUUGUUCAUACAGCAAAAUUUAGAAGAAAACAAAGAAAAGUUUACUUCCUACCAUUCUUAGAUCUACACUAGUGUAAAGCCUGUUAGAUUGUCCUUACAGAUAGACGAGAAUCCAAAGAACAGAAUCCAAAGGACCUUAAUAAAUUCUAUUACCUAGAGUAUAAAUAAAUUUUAUUAUUUCGAAUGUAAAUAGAAGCUUAUAUUCUAUUACUUAGAAUAUAAAUAAAUUAUUUAAAAUAUGGAUAGAACCUUAUAUUCUAUUAUUACUUAGAAUAUAAGGCUACGCGUCUAUAAUUGACUGUGGAGGAAACAUCUUAGAAAGCAUGUAGAUUUUUUUCUAAUGAGCCCUGUGGUUAAGUUUGGAAAUACUUUAGCUAUAUGCAAAAUCAAUGGGAAAUUACCUCACUGGAAUUUUUUAAAAUUUAUAUGACUACAACUUUAAGAAUGAUUCCUAAAAUUUCAAGAUAAAUAAAAUUUUAUUGCUUAAAUCUUCUAUUUUGAAAAUGGGGCCCACUAAGAUUAAGUCUCAAGUUCAAAGUUAAGGCAUAGACUUCCAACUCUUUAUUCUAUAAUAGUAAUUUUGUAAGUCUAAAAAUUGGUGAAUUACUACAUAAGCAUUGUGUGUUCACAUAUAAAGUGAAAAAAUAGCAAAGGAGUUUUAAAAAAAAUUUAAUGAGAUCACUCUCUUCCUCUCCCUUGUAACUCAACUCAUACAUAGGUGAUUGCAUAGUGUACCAUAUACUUGUCUGCAUAUAUUGGUAGAAGAUAUGUUAAGCUGCUAUAACAAAGAUUCUCCAAUAAAAUAGUUUAAAUUAAAUAGAUAAUUUUCCCUUUUAUUCCAGUUUGAGUAGUCCAGGCUGGAGCAGUGAUUGUGCUACAAGUCAUCACUCAGAGGUCCAAAUUCCUCCCAUGUUCAUGCUCUGUUAUCUCAUAGGGUGUUUUCUCCCUUUGCAUAUUUGGACCUAACUCACAAUCAAGUUAGUGUUCCAGUUCAUGAUGAGGGAAAAGAGUGGAAACCCAGGGCUGGCAGAUUGUCUUCAGUUGGAAAUCACAAAAUUUGCAGACAUCUCUUCUGAUGAUAUCAGAAUGGUCCAAACUUAGUGAUAUGAUCAAAAUUAGCUGCAAGAAAAAUUGAAAAUGGAAACUAUCUGAGCAAUCAUGUGCUCCACUUAUACUUGGAUGAUUCUAGUAAUAAAAAAAAGGAUGGAAAAAGAAAAACCAAGGAACAAUUGAUAGGUUUUACCACAGGUGUUUACACACAUGUAUUCAUUUGUUUGUUAAUUUAUUCACUCGACAAUUCCACAAAUAAUCAAUGAGCAUCAUAUACACGGUAGAUACUGCCUGUGAUGCAAACUUGUCCCAGCCAUGAAACUGCUUAUAGUGUAAUGGAAAAAAUAUGAAAAUGUAAUGAGUCUAUGAUGACGGUAGUCAUAAUUGGUAAGAGAAUAUUAGGUCCAAACUUUAGUCCACAGAGGAUUCUUGAUGCCUGCAACACUAUAUGUAUUCAUUUAUCUCCUGUCUACAAAUAUUCACAUAAAAAUUAAGUAAAGUGAUUUUACUUACCCAAAUAAGAGCUUAUUACAAGAUAUUUGUAUUUGUAACCAAAUCCGGUUGGAAACAUUCUAGGAAGAAGUCUUAAUUCAUAAAUAUUUUGAGAAACUCUUUAGUUUUUGUCUUAAAUAUUUGUCAUAAAUAUUUAUUUAUUUGUCUUAAAUAUUUAGUACUAUUGAUGCAGGGUCUCAUAUAUACCACUUCAAAAUGACAUUUGUAGUCCCUUCCCCUAUACUGUCUUUAGGUAAGAGUUAAACACAGUAGAAGGGAGUGUCUCUUCUCCAUUCCCAUAUUCUUCAGGGUUGUGUUCUGAAAUGUGGGAUACUCAACUCAGUGCCAACCUAAACUAUUGCUGUGAGUUGUAAAGUAAGUAAGACAAGUCCCCAGUUGUACAUUUCACCCUAAAAUAAUUCAUUUUCUCCAAACAUUGUGAUCACUAUCUGCCAUCACCCCUCAAUCAAAAAGAAGACUUGCCUAUUUCUUUCACUAUCUUUUUUUUUUUUUUUGGUCUCUUUAGAUUCCAAAAUGACUUAAAUGUUUUCCAAAAGCAAUCAAACUGGCAAAGAAUUCUUCAGAAAUGAAGGCAUAAUUCUUCCGUCAGCAUGCUCCCCAAAUCAUUGAAAAUACCGAUGACUCUAUGGCACAGCACAGAGCAUUGCAACUAUCUUUAAAGGGCAAAGCUUCUCACUCUCACUCAUUCCCACCACCACCUUCUUGAAGAAACAGAAGCUGAAAGUUUCAAAUAUUGUUAUUUUUCUCACCCACCUCCCAAAAUAAGCACAUCGUUGUGCAUCAGGUUAUAGAAAGCCUCAUAUCCUCAAAAUGAAAUAGACAGGAAAUCUCUUGAUUCUCCCAUGAGGACACAUCAGAAUCAAGCACAAUAUAAAGAGCUUGGGUUGCUACUUGUGAUGUUGAUCAUCAGGUUAGUGCAGUAAAAUCCAACAUGGGAAACUUAUCAUAUAAUGAGUAAACUAGGACAGUGUUAAAGGAUAUUUAGCAAAGCAGUUCUAAUUAACUUUCAGCUAUUUCCAUUUGCUUUAUAUAUUACAUAUUAUAUAUAUAAUAUAUUUUAAGUCAGUAAUGCAUAAUGAAGACAGACGCAGUAGCUCAUGCCUGUAAUCUCAGCAGUUUGGGAGGCCACAGCACGAGGAUCACUUAAGCCCAAUAGUUUGAGACCAACCUGGGUGACACAGUGAGGCCCCCAUCUCUAAAAAAAAAAAAAAAAAGAAUGCAUAAUAACAUUUUAUAUGCUAGUGAUUACAAUUUUAGGCAUCAACUAUACCAUUAAUAUUUAUUGAGUACCUACUAUUUGCCAUAAAUCAGACAAAUACCUGGAAAUACAAUGGUUAAAAAGGAAGGCAUGCUUUUUUAAUUCAUAUAAUCAUUGUAAAAUGAGUCAGUUAUGGAAUGGUUUAUUGUUUAUUACAAAUAAUUAAUAGGGAGGAGAGAGGGAGCAUGAUGACAGGUUGAUCAACAGGUAUAAAGUUAUUAUCAUUAGAUAAGAGGAAUACAUUCUGAUGUAUUGCACAAUAGGGUGACUAUGGUUAACAGCAAAAUAUUGUAUAUUACAAAAUAGCUAGAAAAGAGGCUUAUGAAUGUUCUCAUCACAAAAAAAUGAUAAACACAUGAGGUGAUGGACACACUAAAUACUAUGAUUGGAUCAUUAUAUAACACAAAUAUGUAUGGAAACAUCAAAUUGUACCCCAUGGAUAAGUACAAUUACAAUAUGUCCAUUAGAAAAUAAAUAUAUUUUCAAAAAAAUCUUAAAAUGAUUAAUGUAUUCUCUACUCAAAAAAGUUUAUUCUUAUAAUAAUAACUAAAAUUAGUAUGCUCCUGAUGACAGCAGCUUUCUUAUUUUAUCUAACAGUUCUUCAUGCUUCAAGAUUCCUAAACUUGCUUCUUAUCAGCUCUAUUGAGCUAUAAUUUACUUACAAUAAAAUUCACCUAUUUCAAGUGUUAGAUGAGUUUUGACAAAUGUACAUGCCCCUGUAACCACCACCAUAAUCACUUUCAGUUUAUCUUAAAAGAACUCAUAUCUGGACUGCUUAAUUGAAGGGUACACAGUCAUGACUAUGGAGCACUUAGACAUCAGCACUCCCUCCUAAGGUGCUAAGUAGAGUCAUUAUGCAAAGUGAAUAACUCUAAGGGUGAGGAUAUCCUCAACAUCCUCACUCCUACUUGUGGGUUGAAAAUUAGGCAUAAGAAGGCCAAUUGCCAGAUAAUGCUGUUGCUCUGAGGUUUGUGUACAAACUGAAAGGUUGAAGUGUACCCUUUCAGCACCAGGAUUCAUUUCCAGCAGAUCCAUUCUCCUCUCUGUGGCUUACACCAGCCAAAGCAACAUUGCUACAAGCUCUUAGCAUUCUUCUUCACGCUCACCCCGUAGACAAGCAUAUUGUCCUGUCUGGAGUGUCCUCUUCACCGACACAUUCCAAGCUGCUUUGGCUUGGGAGAAUCUAAACUUGGGCCUGAUGACAGAUAACUGAAAUCUUUUACGAGAACUCCAAAAAGGAAAAAAAAAAAAAAAAGAGGAAAGGAACUAGAGCUGCACGUCAAGUCACACUGUGUUGUCAGCUACUUUAGCUGACUGAGAAAUACAAUUCUUUGGAAUGGAAGAAGUUUCAGUGAUAACCUUGUUGGGAAAUGAUAUCAAAGGACAAAGGUGUCAUUUUUAAAUGUGUAACUUAGUACUAUCAGCACUGUUAAUUUCUCUGGCCACUUUAACUCUUAAAACUGCUGCAGUGUGAGUGUGUGAGUAUCACUUAUGCACAAGACCAUUUUAUCAGUAAGGUACAAGAUGACAUAUUCAUAGAAUAAGCACAUUGCCUAUAUAGAAAAUAUGUAAUAUAUUGUUUAGGCUUCAGCAAUGUUGAGGUAAAAGUAUUUAUUAAAAGGACAUACUAGCUUCGUUGCCUUAAAUUAAGUAUUAAUCUUUGGUCCUCUUGGCCCUACCGUUUUCAUUUGAGAUGCCCAGUUUGUAUUUGGAGUUUAUAAUCACUUACAAGAUAUUUAGUGAUAGUUCUAAAACAAGCAGGUGAUUUUAAUUUAGUAACUGUUCAAUUUAGUAAUUUAGUAACUGUGACACAACUAGCAGCCUUAGUGGAAGUUUGAAAUAACGUACAAAGUUAAUGCUUAUGAACAGGUAAAAAAUGAAUGAUUAAUGCCUAAUAUAUCUAGAUAAUUGAUCAAAGGGGUGUGUGUGUGUGUGUAGAUUUUUAUCCAUCCAGUUGUUAACAUGUUUCUCUAUUUUUCUUUAUAUACUCAAAAUGUGUUUACUGCUUGGUGUUAUUUCUUUAAUAUCUGAAAAUUUAAGUGACAAAAUGAACUAUAUCAUGUAUCAAAAUAUUUUAAUGCUUGAUUUACAUUUCAAGGUUU